UUGCAAUGAUGUUUUGAAUUUCUUCGACUGAUAAAAUUAUGAAGAUUUAAAAAUGAGCUUUUUAACACUGAGCAAU